GAUGAACGCUGGCGGCGUGCUUAACACAUGCAAGUCGAACGGAAAGGCCCUUCGGGGUACUCGAGUGGCGAACGGGUGAGUAACACGUGGGUGAUCUGCCCUGCACUUUGGGAUAAGCCUGGGAAACUGGGUCUAAUACCGGAUAGGACCACGAGUCGCAUGGCUUGUGGUGGAAAGCUUUUGCGGUGUGGGAUGGGCCCGCGGCCUAUCAGCUUGUUGGUGGGGUGAUGGCCUACCAAGGCGUCGACGGGUAGCCGGCCUGAGAGGGUGUCCGGCCACACUGGGACUGAGAUACGGCCCAGACUCCUACGGGAGGCAGCAGUGGGGAAUAUUGCACAAUGGGCGCAAGCCUGAUGCAGCGACGCCGCGUGGGGGAUGACGGCCUUCGGGUUGUAAACCUCUUUCAGCACAGACGAAGCGCAAGUGACGGUAUGUGCAGAAGAAGCACCGGCCAACUACGUGCCAGCAGCCGCAGUAACAC
rnacentral:rRNA from 1 species